UUGCAGGUUUGUGAGAAGCCUGGCUCUUCCUGGGUGGUUUUCUCUGGCCCCAAGGGAUGCUUACAAUUCUGCACCCCAGCUUCCUGAGUCCACUGCUUCUCGCCAGCGCAGACCAUAAAGCAUCCACCGCAGUGACUGGGCUGCGAUGAGAGUCAGAGAAGAUGUGACUGAGUUUCCAGCCGCAGCCAAGGAGCCCGGAGGAGCCGGGGUCACGGGGUCUGCCGGGGCCAGUGCCGCAAUGCCUAUUAAUCGGAGCCGGAUGACAAGUCAUGGGCACGAUUGUGUUUGCCCAAACGCAGAUAAUAUCAGAUGUGGCAGAUCCGCCGAGCCCCAGCUUCCAAGGAGAAGUAGAACAUAAUAAACAGGUUUCUCUAAUCCAGCCGUCUGCCAUCAUGCUGCACUUUGGGGUUGUCACCACUGGCCUGCCGGUCACCCAGGUGGGAAGGGUGGCUGCCAGCUGACUCUGCCAUCUCUCUGAGUUCCCAGCAGCACAUCUUCCCUCCACAUCCUGGUCUCUCCCGCACAGCUGCCUCUUCACUGGCCUCCCUGCCUCCAGCCUGUCCCCUUUUCCUGCUGUCUGCACACAUUUGCUGUAUGAUGCUCCCCAAAUACUGUCUUGACAAUCAUCAUGUAUCAAGUACCUCCCG